AUUCCAGCUCCAAUAGCGUAUAUUAAAGUUGCUGCAGUUAAAAAGCUCGUAGUUGAAUCUCGGGUGCAGGCUUGCGGUCCGUCUCGCGGCGGUCACUGCUCGUCCUGGCCUCCACGCCGGCGUACCGUCCCUUGGUGCUCUUGACUGAGUGUCUCGGGCGGCCGGAACGUUUACUUUGAAGAAAUUAGAGUGCUCAAAGCAGGCCUUGGCCGCCUGCAUAAUGGUGCAUGGAAUAAUGGAAUAGGACCUCGGUUCUAUUUUGUUGGUUUUCGGGGCUCGAGGUAAUGAUUAACAGGGACUGACGGGGGCAUUCGUAUUGCGGCGCUAGAGGUGAAAUUCUUAGACCGUCGCAAGACGAACUACAGCGAAAGCAUUUGCCAAGCAUGUUUUCAUCA
rnacentral:rRNA from 1 species